rnacentral:rRNA from 1 species
GGGCUCACACAAGCGGUGGAGGAUGUGGCUUAAUUCGAGGCUACGCGAAGAACCUUAUCCUAGUCUUGACAUGCACGGAUUAACCCUAUGAAAGUAGGGCCACACCUUUCGGGGUGGAACGUGCACAGGUGCUGCAUGGCUGUCGUCAGCUCGUGUCGUGAGAUGUCGGGUUAAGUCCCUUAACGAGCGAAACCCUUGUCACUAGUUGCCAGCGAGUAAUGUCGGGGACUCUAGUGAGACCGCCGGCGUUAAGCCGGAGGAAGGCGGGGAUGACGUCAAGUCCUCAUGGCCCUUAUGACUAGGGCUGCACACGUCCUACAAUGGCACGCACAAAGGGACGCAAGCUCGCGAGAGUAAGCAAAUCCCAAAAAACGUGCCCCAGUUCGGAUUGCAGGCUGCAACUCGCCUGCAUGAAGCCGGAAUCGCUAGUAAUCGCGGGUCAGCAUACCGCGGUGAAUGUGUUCCUGAGCCUU